rnacentral:rRNA from 1 species
UGAGCCAUUCCGUGGGAUCAUUUGGUUUAUCUAACGAAGAAGGACGUAGCAAAUUACGAUAAGCAUUAUUUAAAGCAAUAUAGAUAAUGAUCUCCGAAUGGAUCAGAUUUGUGUAGUUUCAUAUGAACAUAUAGUUGAUUAUUUAUAACUGGUUAUAUGUCCAUGUCAAGCUACUCAGGAUCCUGGGCAACCUACUGAACUUAAGCAUAUCAGUAAGUAGAGGAAAAGAAAUUAACAAAGAUACUCUCAGUAGCAGCGAGCGAAGCGAGUAGAGCUUAAUUGUAAAUCUUGAGACGGGGUUGUAUUAGUGCAUGAUGUAUUAGUGCAUGUAUUGGUAUAUGUAUUGGUAUAUGUAUGGAUGUAUAUAAUAGAUGGUAUGGUUGGUUAAUAGAUGGUAUGGUUGGUUAAUUCUAAUCAAUUAUGCUUUAUAUUAAUCAAUUAUGCUUUAUAUUGGUGUAUUAUACAAUUCAGUCAGGAUGUUGUAACACUAUGGAUAAAUAGAUAUAUAAGAUGUAUAGAUGUAUAGAUAGAUAGGAUGUGUAUGGAUGGAUGGAUAGAUAGAUCGAUAAGAUGUAUAGAAAGAUUGGUUAGUUUUAAUUGGUUUUAUUAUAUAUCUUGUUUAGCUCUCUAACUAUUUAGUUGUAUAUCUUGUUUAAUUAUCAGUCUAUAUGUUGUAUCUACAUAUUUAUCUGGUUAUCCUGUUUGUUUAACAAUUUGAAAUAGUUGACCAUAGAGAGUGAAAGUCUCGUAGAACAGAUGGGAUUAGUGAAAGAGAGUAGUGCUAUAUGGAAAUGUAGUAUGAAUGUAGGUGUUAGAGGCAUCUAAGGCUAAAUAGUAGAUAAGACCGAUAGCGAAAAAGUACCGUGAGGGAAAAUUGAAAAGAACUUCGGAAGAAGGGUGAGAAGAAGUGAAAACGGAAUAGGUGGAAGGAUUUUAUUCGUAUAGAUGAUAUAUAUCAGGUAGAUAUGCAGGCAGGCUAUAUAGCAAGAUUAGUUAGUUUUGUUAUGUAUCGUGUUUAUCAGGUAGAUAUGCAGGAUAUAUAGUAAGAUUAGUUAGUUUUGUUAUAUAUCAUGUUAUAUAUCAUGUGACAUAUCAUGUGACAUAUCAUGUGACAUAUCAUGUUUAGCUAUCCUGACUAUAUAUCUAUUUAAUUGAUAAUAAAUGCGAAUACAGUCACCCGUCUUGAAACACGGACCAAGGAGUGAUAGGAUUUAGCGAGUGUAACAGCGUAACCGAAAGGGAAUUGAGCUAAGUUCUGUCGACCCGAAAGAUGGUGAACUAUACUUGAUCUAAACGAAGCCGGAGAAAUCGCUGGUGGAGGUUUUAAGUGGUUCUAACGUGCAAAUUGAUCAUGAGAAUUGAGUAUAGGGGCGAAAGACCAAUCGAACCAUCUAGUAGCUGGUUCCCGUUGAAAUGUCUCGCAGGACAGCGGUGUGUUUGUCUGGAUGGAUGGAUGGAUAUAUGGGUGGAUAGAUAUAUGGAUGGAUAGAUAGAUGGGAUGGAUAGAUGAGUGGAUGGAUAGAUAGAUGGAUAGAUGAGUGGAUGGAUAGUAUGGUUGGUUAUUUAACUAAUUGGUUAUGCUAUGUAUCUUAUUUAGCUAUGAUGUAUCUUAUUUAGCUAUUUACCACCUAUAUAUCUAUCUUAGCUAUUUACCGCCUAUAUAUCCAUCCAAUUUAUCAAGACAAAGUAGUAUUAUCGGUUAGAGGACUGACGAGAGACAGUGGGAUAUUGCAUCUUACACUUUAGUCAAACUUCGAAGUGGUAAAAUUAAAUAUAUUGCUAGAUAGAUAGGAUGUAUGGUAAGAUAGGAUGUAUGGUAAUAUUAGUUGAUUUUAAUUAGUUUUAUUGUAUAUCUUGUUUUACUGUAUAUCUUAGAUAUCUAUUUAGUUAUCUAUUUAGCUAUUUAGCUAUCUAUUUAGUUAUUUAGCUAUCUAUUUAGCAGUAUAUUUAUGUAUACAGCACAUUAGUGGGCCUUGGUUGGUAAGCAGCUAUGGCGAUGCGGAUUGAACCGAGAACGACGAUAAGGGACCAUAGAUCGUUGAACCUAAGGAGCGACGUGCAUAAAGACAGUAGGAAGGUGGUCAUGGAAGUUGACAUCCUGUAAGAAGUGUGUUACAACUUACCUACCGAAUGCAGAGUUGACCGAAAAAGGAGGGAGGAAACGAGGCCUGAUGCGUUGUAGUCGUGAUGAUGUGAUGGUGUGAUGAUGGGUGGAUGGAUGUGAUGGUGUGAUGGUGUGAUGAUGUAUAUAGCAAGAUUAGUUAGUUCUAAUUGGUUUUGUUAUAUAUCUUAUUUAGCUGUCUAGCAGUCUAACUAUUUAGCAGUCUAACUAUCUAUUCACCUAUCUAAUUAUGAACACGACUGGUAAACGGGCGUAGUUAUUUUGUAGAAGUGUGAAUGAGAAUCCACAUGGAGAGGUAGCUAGUGUAGAUCUUGGAGGGAGUAGCGAAGAGUCUUUUAUAGAGGGCCGAAAACGUGAGGGGUUUCAUGGAACUGAUAUACAGCCAUGAGUGAAGCGGGCCUAAAAUACAUUAGUAUUGAAAGGGAGAACAAUCGAUAUUUUGUUCUAUAUGUGAAGCGAUGGUGUGAAGYGAUGGUGUGARGUGAUGGUGUGAGGUGAUGGUGGAUGGAUGGAUAAGAUAUGUGGAUGGAUGGAUGGAUAUAUGGURAAAYAGGAUAUAUGGURAGAUAGGAUAUAUGGURAGAUAGGAUAUAUGGUAAGAUUAGUUAGUUCUAAUUAGUUUUACAGUAUAUCUUAUCUUACUAUAUGUCUUGUUUUACUGUAUAUCUUGUUUAGCUAUAUAUCUUAUCUUACUAUAUAUCUUGUUUAGCUAUAUGUCUUUUUUUACAGUAUAUCUCAUUUUUUAACUAUUUACCUAUCUAAUCAUCGAAUAAUAUGGUGACAUAUGUAGUGUGGAUGAGGAAUCUAUGAAGACAUUAACUUACAUAUCAUGUAAGGUGCAUUGGUGGUGUGUGGUUAAAUAGGAUAUGUAAUAAGAUUGGUUAAUUCUAAUUAGUUUUACGAUGUAUCCUAUUUGACUAUCAAUCCAUCAACAAUGAUAAUCUUGAAAACCAUAUCAUAUGAAGAUCAAGAUUGUUAUAGCUUARCAAUGUUUUUUAGGUUACCAUGAAAAAACGACACUAAUUGAACACAUAGACCGUACCUUUAACCGCAACAGGACACGAGGAUUUAAAUCCUAGGCCACGGAAGAAUGUAAGUAAGGGAAGUCGGCAAGUUGGGCCUGUAACUUUGGAAGAAGGGGUGGCUAGGCUGGGUGCAUAUAUGGUAUGGUAGUAGGUGUGAUGAGUCGUGUGGUUGGUUAGUUGUAAUUGAUUGUAUUAUUUGUCUAUGCACUUAUUUAUAGUGUGAUGAAUCGUGUGGUUGGUUAGUUGUAAUUGAUUGUAUUAUUUGUCUAUGCACUUAUUUAUAAUAUCAGUCUAUGCAUCCAAACCUAACUGUAAGGUCGGGAAUCCGACAGUUUAAUAAAAACCAAGCGUUAUGAUGAUAGCAUAUUAUAUAGACAUGACGUGAGUUCUGCCCAGUGCUUGGGGAGUUAAGAUGAGAAGCCUCAUUAAUGCACAGGUAAACGGCGGGAGUAACUAUGACUCUCUUAAGGUAGCCAAAUGCCUCGUCAUCUAAUUAGUGACGUGCAUGAAUGGAUCAGCGAGAUUCCCACUGUCCCUAUUUACAAUCCGGUGAAACCACAGCCAAGGGAACGGGCUUGGCGAUACUAGCGGGGAAAGAAGACCCUGUUGAGCUUGACUCUAGUGUUGGGCGAAGAUGGAUUAUGAGGGUAUAGCAUAACUAAGAGGCUUGAAGACUGGAUGGAUGUGCGGGUAAAUGAUAUAUGUAGCAAGACUGGUUAGUUCUAAUUAGCCUUGCAGUGUGUUAGCCUUGCAGUGUGUUUAGGUAACAAGUCGCCCGUGGAAUAUUAGUACCUCAAUAAACCAACUUCAAACUGUACAUAUGGACUAUUUAUCAUAGUCUAUUCACAAGACAACUCAUCAUAGAGAGUUUGGCUGGGGCGGCACGGUUGCGAAACAAUAGCGCAAGCGUCCUAAGGUUGAAUCAAUGUGAGACGGAAUCACAUGUAGAGUACAAGGGUACAAGUCAGCUUGACGAUGUUUAGAAUUAUGUCGACGCGAAAGCGGGGCCUAGCGAUCCUUGCUCGAUUUGUUGGUAAGUGGRUUGAURGRUUGAUGGAURGAUGGRUGGAUGGAUGGRUGGAUUGGAUGGGUUGAUGUGAUAGUAAGAUUAGUUAAUUUUAAUUGGUUUUAUUAUACACAUGUAUAUCAUGUAUCAUGUCUAUUUAUCAUAUCUGUCAUAUAUCAUAUCUGUCAUAUCUAUUUAUCAACAUUCCUAGCGAGCAAGGUGACAGAAAAGUUACCACAGGGAUAACUGGCUUGUGGCGGCCGAUCGUCCACAGAGACGUCGCCUUUUGAUCCUUCGAUGUCGGCUCUUCCUAUCAUAGCGUUGCAUAAGGCGCAAAGUGUUGGAUUGUUCACCCACUAACAGGGAACGUGAGCUGGGUUUAGACCGUCGUGAGACAGGUUAGUCUUACCCUACUGGUUAACAUAAAUAGGAGGGAGGAGUGGUACGAGAGGAACUACCUGCCCACAUCACUGGUUAAGCUAUUAUUCGAAAUGGUAAAAGCAAAGCUACAUGUGACUGAGAAGCACUGGAUGCCUCUAAGUGCGGACCAGAGCUAUAUGUGUGACAAUCUUGAGUAUUCGACUCAAUAAACAAAUAAGUGUAAGUCUCAAGCUGUGCGAGGGACUGAGCUUAGUUCUGUUUAGUUAAGUGUGUGG